CUUUGCUUCCUGAACGCCAAUGCAGUGAGACCCUCAUCCUCCUACUCCUGCUACCCUGCCUUCUCCACCAUGAUGGACCAUAACCCCUUGGAAUUGUGGUGGCCCAGGAUGUGGAAAUACAUGCAAGCUGGACCCUAGUUGUCUUGGGAACAGAAGCCAUUGAGAGGGAACGGACACUGA